rnacentral:lncRNA from 1 species
UAAGAUUUCAUUCUAAAUAGAAACCGUAUAAUGAGGGAAAAUACGAAUGAACAGGCCAGUCGAGUGAAGUUUGUUUGAAAAUCCUGAUGCUACAAAGAAGAUAGAGCACUUUCAGAAUGCGAAAGUAGAUCAUCGAUCGUGUCAACAUCUCCAUCGAAAGUUGGAUGCCGCAAGAAUUUGAAAUUAAGCUGGCAGCAGGAAUUGCGGGGGUGGAAACGGAUGUAAUAUCGAGCAACAAGCACGCCAAGGUUCUCGGAGUAUGAGCGUUGUAAUUUGACCGAUGCUUCGAUCGACGCUUCCUUUGUCCGAGCAUCUCGAAAUUGUUCAACUAUUACGAUUAUCAACUACCAUAUCACAUGACAAUAAAAUGAAAUUAAUAGAUAGAAGACGAAAUAAACUGAACCAUUUUCGUGUUGCUAUAAUAAAAUAUCGCCUUAAUUUGACCAGUAAAAUUAAAUGAAAUUUGUUCAAGCAUAGCACAAUGUAAAUUAAAACGCAUAAAACAAUAUUAAACGCUAUUUUAAAACGUACUAACAAUAAGUGUUUCAUUUAUAGAAUAUUCGUAUAGAUCAAGUGGUGCUAUAUGUCGUUGAUCGAUACGAAUGAACGAAACGCUCGUCAAUUCACCUUCAACGUUACGUCAAACGUAUUUGUAUCAGGGACAAACGAUCGUAGGAUUUCACGAACGCAUGAAAGCACGUCGAGGAGUACGCUCCGGCGGGACAUCGCCGCAAUGCAGCUUUAUCUAUACCGGGCUGUUCCGCACCAUACGGGCCAUUGCUCGAUUUACGAAUCCAGAAAACAUAUGUUCGCAAAGCUCGAUCUACUCAUCGUGUACCAUAAUGCAGCUCUUUAACUACCACGAUCUCAUUUAAACAGCCAAAUAACGAACAUUCGAAGUGUUAUCCAAGCCAUGAACAACGAGGAUAAGAAGA